UACGUAGGGGGCAAGCGUUGUCCGGAAUCAUUGGGCGUAAAGAGCGUGUAGGCGGCCAGAUAAGUCCGCUGUGAAAUCUUGAGGCUCAACUUCGAGCUGUCGGUGGAAACUGUCUGGCUAGAGUCCGGAAGAGGAGAAUGGAAUUCCUGGUGUAGCGGUGAAAUGCGCAGAUAUCAGGAAGAACACCCGUGGCGAAGGCGGUUCUCUGGGACGGUACUGACGCUGAGACGCGAAAGCGUGGGAGCGAACAGG
rnacentral:rRNA from 1 species